GGCAAAGAAGAGGUGGAAGAACAUGGAGGCUGUAAGAGGAGAAAGGGAAGAUGACUAGCCUGGUUACCAUGAAUACAACAGUGAAGAGGACGAAGAUGGUGUUGCAGUAAAACGUCGGAGGCAUCAUGGACCAGCAUGACUAGAGUACCAAUUCGGAUGUAGUUUGCACACCAGGAGAAUGACAGCAGUGUCAGAGUGGCCCAGUGAUGCACCAGCUGCUCUUUAAAGUCCUACAGGCAGACAGACAGAGACUUUGAUCUGUAACAGGCAAGACAGCAUAUCAGUGCUGUAUGAUAAUACAUUAAGAGCAGUUUUAUGACCUCAGGCACACAGAAAGGUGAUAAAAGAGCAGAGAUAACUCAAAGCUUCCUUUGUCACAGAAAAACACAGACAUUCAUACCAGGACUGUCAUAUCAAAAUUUUGCAACCUUAUAUAUUUUUCUUUUUUCCCCUCCCUUGUAGCUAUGCUGCAAGUACAUGUUUAAAUUCAUUGUUUUUGAGAUGUCACAAAAAGCAAUAUAUUUACAUAUAUCCACCUAUUCACACUGAAGUUAUAAGCAGUCUUUCAGCCCAGACUGCUUUUUGACUGAGGCACAACAAAGGGCAGACAAUCAGAACAGAGCUCAUUUACAUGUAUAAGUCUUAAAGGCACAUUAGCAAAAAGUAGGCUGUUUAAUUCCAAAUAUAUAAGGAGAGGCUGGCAAAUGGUCAUGUAAAAGUGAAUUAUGACUAUUUUUGGUUAAUAAAACCACACAAAUGUCAUAAGUUGACCACAAGGGAAAAAAAUAAAACUUGUGUGAAUACAACUUUGUGACAUACAAAAGCGAUAUAUAUAUG